rnacentral:misc_RNA from 1 species
UCCUGGUUAACCCAGGCAGUCUCAUUAGAGUUCCCACCUUAAAUGUUGGCAACUAAUGAUAAGGGUUGCGCUCGUUGCUGGACUUAACCAAACACCUCACGGCACGAGCUGACGACAGCCAUGCAGCACCUGUGUAGCGGCUCCGAAGAGAAAUACUAUUUCUAGUAUCGUCCACUACAUGUCAAGUCUGGGUAAGGUUCUUCGCGUUGCAUCAAAUUAAACCACAUGCUCCACUGCUUGUGCGGGUCCCCGUCAAUUCUUUUGAGUUUCACCCUUGCGAGCGUACUCCCCAGGCGGUAUACUUAUCGCGUUAGCUACGACACAACUAGGGUUGAAUCCAGUUACAUCAAGUAUACAUCGUUUAAGGCAAGGACUAC